CCUACGGGAGGCAGCAGUGGGGAAUAUUGGGCAAUGGAGGCAACUCUGACCCAGCAACGCCGCGUGAAUGUUGAAGGUCUACGGAUUGUAAAGUUCUUUUCUAAGGGAAGAAGGAAGUGACGGUACCUUAGGAAUAAGCUUCGGCUAACUACGUGCCAGCAGCCGCGGUAAUACGUAGGAGGCAAGCGUUAUCCGGAAGGACUGGGCGUAAAGGGUGCGUAGGUGGUUUGACAAGUUGGUAGUGAAAUUCCGGAGCUCAACUUCGGAACUACUACCAAAACUGGUGGACUCGAGUGGAGGGGAGGCAACUGGAAUGUCUAGUGUAGCGGUGGAAUGCGUAGAUAUUAGGAAGAACACCGAUGGCGAAGGCGGGUUGCUAAACUAUAACUGACACUGAGGCACGAAAGCGUGGGGAGCAAACAGGAGUAGAUACCCUUGUAGUC
rnacentral:rRNA from 1 species